rnacentral:lncRNA from 1 species
AGCUUGAUGUCCUCGAGGGGGUUCCCGGGCACGACACGCUUGUAGAGGUAGCUGUCGAAGGUCAUCCGCUGCACGUAGUCGUCAGCGCACAUCUCCACGAAGGCCUCCCUGGCGGCGUUGGAGCGGUAGAAGACCUUCUGCAGGAUGUCGAGCACCUUGUAGGUCGGCCAGUAGAGCCUGUCGAACUCCGCCAGGUACUUGCGGAGGUCGCCUUCCUCCACCAGCCUCGUCCCGUUCGCCGACCCGGCCACGAUCGCCUCCGCGCACAUCCUCCCGCUCUUCGCCGCGAAGUAGAUCCC